UGGGGUAUCGCCAAGCGGUAAGGCACCGGGUUUUGGUUCCGGCAUGCAUAGGUUCAAAUCCUAUUACCCCAGCAA
rnacentral:tRNA from 2 species